AUUUCACUCAAAAAGUAAAUCAUAAUUAAUACACUUUCAAUUUCCAGGGAAUUCUAUGCAUUGGUUUUCUGAAACGUGCUCGCCAGCAGAAGGAAAUUACAAGGGAGCAGGCAGUCAAGGAUCUGGAGCAAUUGGAGCGGCGAAGGGAGGAACUCGAACAACUGCUCCUGGCUGAAAGAGUUUGAUGCCAUUUGUAUGAGUAUUUUUGUUCAGAUGGAUGAAAAUACUGAAAUGACUUCAACAAAUUCCAAUUAUGUAAAUAUAAUGUUGUUAUGCUGAUGUCAUUUCAUUGAUUGAUUCUA